AUUGAACGCUGGCGGCAUGCUUUACACAUGCAAGUCGAACGGCAGCGCGGGCUUCGGCCUGGCGGCGAGUGGCGAACGGGUGAGUAAUACAUCGGAACGUGCCCAGUAGUGGGGGAUAGCUCGGCGAAAGCCGGAUUAAUACCGCAUACGACCUGAGGGUGAAAGCGGGGGAUCUUCGGACCUCGCGCUAUUGGAGCGGCCGAUGGCAGAUUAGCUAGUUGGUGGGGUAAAGGCCUACCAAGGCGACGAUCUGUAGCUGGUCUGAGAGGACGACCAGCCACACUGGAACUGAGACACGGCCCAGACUCCUACGGGAGGCAGCAGUGGGUAAUUUUGGACAAAGGGCGAAAGCCUGAUCCAGCAAUGCCGCGUGUGUGAUGAAGGCCUUCGGGUUGUAAAGCACUUUUGGCGGGAACGAAAAGGACUGUGCCAAUACCACGGUUCGAUGACGGUACCCGCAGAAUAAGCACCGGCUAACUACGUG
rnacentral:rRNA from 1 species